rnacentral:tRNA from 1 species
AAGAUUAAGAUUGUAGACGGUUUUACACGGUGAUUGCAGAUCAUUUGUAUGAGGUUCAAUUCCUCCUUAAUCUU